AUGUCAUUCUCCAGCCUUCUGAAGGUGGUCAUGGCUUCAAUGUGGCUAGGAUCCAGUGUUGCCCAGAAGGUAACUCAAGCCCAACAGGCAAUGUUUGCGCAGGAGAAGGAAGUUGUGACACUAAACUGCAGAUAUGACACCAGUUCCAGCAGUUAUAAUCUAUUCUGGUACAAGCAGCCCAGUAGUGGAGUGAUGAUGUUUCUUAUUCGUCAGGAUUCUUAUAACCAGCAAAAUGCCUCAGAAGGUCGCUACUCAUUGAAUUUCCAGAAGGCAAACAAGUCCAUCAACCUUGUCAUUUCAGCUUCACAGCAGGAGGACUCUGCAGUGUAUUUCUGCUCACUGAGGGAGCCCACAGUGAGAGAUGUGUUGGAGGGAGGUGUACCAAACCCCAGGGCUCUACUUGAUACAUGCACCUGCUGUAGGGACCACGGCCGGGAAUUGUCAUCACAGACAGGAAAUGUCUAG